GUCAGGAUGGCCGAGCGGUCUAAGGCGCUGCGUUCAGGUCGCAGUCUCCCCUGGGUUCAAAUCCCACUUCUGACA